UAUCUUUAAUGGAUACCGGAUUGCCUCGAUGUUGUAAUGAGAAAAUAGAGCUUGCAAUUCUGUGGUUCUUGGAUCAGUUUCGUAAAACAUAUGUUGGUGAUCAACUUCAAAGAACCUCAAAGAAGACAGACAUCUUCCUGUGAAGGGCUUGUGGCAAACCUAUCCAACUCGGGUUUCUUCUUCCUUGAGAACGAUCUGAUUCAUCAUCAUCUGAACCAGGGAUCACAGUCUAAGGUCCAGGAUGCACCUAAACUAUUGAUGAUUAAUCACCUUAUUAAAUGAUUCCAUUCUGUGUA
rnacentral:lncRNA from 1 species